GGUUAAGCGACUAAGCGUACACGGUGGAUGCCCUGGCAGUCAGAGGCGAUGAAGGACGUGCUAAUCUGCGAUAAGCGUCGGUAAGGUGAUAUGAACCGUUAUAACCGGCGAUUUCCGAAUGGGGAAACCCAGUGUGAUUCGUCACACUAUCAUUAACUGAAUCCAUAGGUUAAUGAGGCGAACCGGGGGAACUGAAACAUCUAAGUACCCCGAGGAAAAGAAAUCAACCGAGAUUCCCCCAGUAGCGGCGAGCGAACGGGGAGCAGCCCAGAGCCUGAAUCAGUGUGUGUGUUAGUGGAAGCGUCUGGAAAGGCGCGCGAUACAGGGUGACAGCCCCGUACACAAAAAUGCACAUGCUGUGAGCUCGAUGAGUAGGGCGGGACACGUGGUAUCCUGUCUGAAUAUGGGGGGACCAUCCUCCAAGGCUAAAUACUCCUGACUGACCGAUAGUGAACCAGUACCGUGAGGGAAAGGCGAAAAGAACCCCGGCGAGGGGAGUGAAAAAGAACCUGAAACCGUGUACGUACAAGCAGUGGGAGCACGCUUAGGCGUGUGACUGCGUACCUUUUGUAUAAUGGGUCAGCGACUUAUAUUCUGUAGCAAGGUUAACCGAAUAGGGGAGCCGAAGGGAAACCGAGUCUUAACUGGGCGUUAAGUUGCAGGGUAUAGACCCGAAACCCGGUGAUCUAGCCAUGGGCAGGUUGAAGGUUGGGUAACACUAACUGGAGGACCGAACCGACUAAUGUUGAAAAAUUAGCGGAUGACUUGUGGCUGGGGGUGAAAGGCCAAUCAAACCGGGAGAUAGCUGGUUCUCCCCGAAAGCUAUUUAGGUAGCGCCUCGUGAAUUCAUCUCCGGGGGUAGAGCACUGUUUCGGCAAGGGGGUCAUCCCGACUUACCAACCCGAUGCAAACUGCGAAUACCGGAGAAUGUUAUCACGGGAGACACACGGCGGGUGCUAACGUCCGUCGUGAAGAGGGAAACAACCCAGACCGCCAGCUAAGGUCCCAAAGUCAUGGUUAAGUGGGAAACGAUGUGGGAAGGCCCAGACAGCCAGGAUGUUGGCUUAGAAGCAGCCAUCAUUUAAAGAAAGCGUAAUAGCUCACUGGUCGAGUCGGCCUGCGCGGAAGAUGUAACGGGGCUAAACCAUGCACCGAAGCUGCGGCAGCGACGCUGAUGCGUUGUUGGGUAGGGGAGCGUUCUGUAAGCCUGCGAAGGUGUGCUGUGAGGCAUGCUGGAGGUAUCAGAAGUGCGAAUGCUGACAUAAGUAACGAUAAAGCGGGUGAAAAGCCCGCUCGCCGGAAGACCAAGGGUUCCUGUCCAACGUUAAUCGGGGCAGGGUGAGUCGACCCCUAAGGCGAGGCCGAAAGGCGUAGUCGAUGGGAAACAGGUUAAUAUUCCUGUACUUGGUGUUACUGCGAAGGGGGGACGGAGAAGGCUAUGUUGGCCGGGCGACGGUUGUCCCGGUUUAAGCGUGUAGGCUGGUUUUCCAGGCAAAUCCGGAAAAUCAAGGCUGAGGCGUGAUGACGAGGCACUACGGUGCUGAAGCAACAAAUGCCCUGCUUCCAGGAAAAGCCUCUAAGCAUCAGGUAACAUCAAAUCGUACCCCAAACCGACACAGGUGGUCAGGUAGAGAAUACCAAGGCGCUUGAGAGAACUCGGGUGAAGGAACUAGGCAAAAUGGUGCCGUAACUUCGGGAGAAGGCACGCUGAUAUGUAGGUGAAGUCCCUCGCGGAUGGAGCUGAAAUCAGUCGAAGAUACCAGCUGGCUGCAACUGUUUAUUAAAAACACAGCACUGUGCAAACACGAAAGUGGACGUAUACGGUGUGACGCCUGCCCGGUGCCGGAAGGUUAAUUGAUGGGGUCAGCGCAAGCGAAGCUCUUGAUCGAAGCCCCGGUAAACGGCGGCCGUAACUAUAACGGUCCUAAGGUAGCGAAAUUCCUUGUCGGGUAAGUUCCGACCUGCACGAAUGGCGUAAUGAUGGCCAGGCUGUCUCCACCCGAGACUCAGUGAAAUUGAACUCGCUGUGAAGAUGCAGUGUACCCGCGGCAAGACGGAAAGACCCCGUGAACCUUUACUAUAGCUUGACACUGAACAUUGAGCCUUGAUGUGUAGGAUAGGUGGGAGGCUUUGAAGUGUGGACGCCAGUCUGCAUGGAGCCGACCUUGAAAUACCACCCUUUAAUGUUUGAUGUUCUAACGUUGACCCGU
rnacentral:rRNA from 1 species